rnacentral:lncRNA from 1 species
GUUCCCGCCGCACUCGCGCAGACCUAGCGCGUCCAGGUGGGAGGUUAGUGUGGCCCGGGCGUCCGCUCCUCAGCGGAUGUGGCAGCCCCGAGCCAUGGCUCUCGCCGUCCGAGUCGUUUAUUGUGGCGCUUGAGGCUACAAGUCCAAGUAUCUUCAGCUCAAGAAGAAGUUAGAAGAUGAGUUCCCCGGCCGCCUGGACAUCGUGAGGAACUCCCCAGGCCACCGGGUUCUUUGAAGUGAUGGUAGCCGGGAAGUUGAUUCACUCUAAGAAGAAAGGCGAUGGCUACGUGGACACAGAAAGCAAGUUUCUGAAGUUGGUGGCCGCCAUCAAAGCCGCCUUGGCUCAGGGCUAAUGCGCCCUGAAGGCAGAGUCCAGGGACCUUGACCCAGCCCCUCUCAGCAGACGCUUCAUGAUAGGAAGGACUGAAAAGUCUUGUGGACACCUGGUCUUUCCCUGAUGUUCUCGUGGCUGCUGUUGGGGGCAGAGAUUGACGCCCCCGGUCUUUGCCUCUGAGCGGGAGAGUCUGUGUGUAUGUGUCUUCCCCGGAAUCCACACCACCCCACCCUCCUCCUGUCCCGUGGUUUCAUCAUAUCUCUUUGCAUACCCCAUGUCUUCCCCAGUUGUCCCCUGGAGUUUGGGGGGACAUCCCGCCUCAGGCAUCCUUCUCAAGGGGAAGCCAAGAGAGGCAUCAGGAUGGGUGGGUUUCUGAUUGUGGCAACGUUUGCAACCGUUCACGAUUCAAUAAAUAUUGG